rnacentral:rRNA from 1 species
ACGGGGUGCAGCAGGCGCGAAAACUUUACAAUGCUGGAAGCAGCGAUAAGGGGACCUCGAGUGCCAGGUUACAAAUCUGGCUGUCGUGAUGCCUAAAAAGCAUUGCAUAGCAAGGGCCGGGCAAGACCGGUGCCAGCCGCCGCGGUAACACCGGCGGCUCGAGUGGUAACCGUUAUUAUUGGGUCUAAAGGGUCUGUAGCCGGCCGGGUAAGUCUCUUGGGAAAUCUGGCAGCUUAACUGUCAGGCUUUCAGGAGAUACUGUCUGGCUCGAGGCCGGGAGAGGUGAGAGGUACUUCAGGGGUAGGGGUGAAAUCUUGUAAUCCUUGAAGGACCACCAGUGGCGAAGGCGUCUCACCAGAACGGACCUGACGGCAAGGGACGAAAGCUAGGGGCACGAACCGGAUUAGAUACCCGGGUAGUCCUAGCCGUAAACGAUACUCGCUAGGUGUCGGCAACGGUGCGACCGUUGUCGGUGCCGUAGGGAUGCCGUGAAGCGAGCCACCUGGGAAGUACGGCCGCAAGGCUGAAACUUAAAGGAAUUGGCGGGGGAGCACCACAACGGGUGGAGCUUGCGGUUUAAUUGGAUCCAACGCCGGAAAUCUUACCGGGACCGACAGCAAUAUGAAGGCCAGGCUGAAGACUUUGCCGGAUUAGCUGAGAGGUGGUGCAUGGCCGUCGUCAGUUCGUACUGUGAAGCAUCCUGUUAAGUCAGGCAACGAGCGAGACCCACGCCCACAGUUGCCAGCGUACUCUCCGGAGUGAC